UACGAAGGGGGCGAGCGUUGUUCGGAUUUACUGGGCGUAAAGGGCGCGCAGGCGGCGAGUUUUGUCAGGCGUGAAAGCCCCGGGCUCAACCUGGGAAUUGCGCUUGAAACGGGCUUGCUAGAGAUCGGGAGAGGAGAGUGGAAUUCCCAGUGUAGAGGUGAAAUUCGUAGAUAUUGGGAAGAACACCGGUGGCGAAGGCGGCUCUCUGGACCGAUACUGACGCUGAGGCGCGAAAGCGUGGGGAGCAAACAGG
rnacentral:rRNA from 1 species